rnacentral:lncRNA from 1 species
GAUAUAUAAAUUAGAUCGUUGUUUUCCUGUUCGAAUUGUGUACGCUAAUAAUUUUGGGGUCCUUUAUAGCCUGCUGUUUGGUCUGUAUCACAGCCCUGUGUAAAAGACUGUACUUUGACCUGUGUUUGUUAUUAUCAGGUUGAGAACAACCCUCCCUCAGACAAGGGGUCAUUUUACUGAUGUAGAAAAGAAAAUAGAAAUACCAAGGAUUUGUAUA